rnacentral:rRNA from 1 species
UACGUAGGCAGCGAGCGUUGUUCGGAGUUACUGGGCGUAAAGGGUGUGUAGGCGGUUGUUUAAGUUUGGUGUGAAAUCUCCCGGCUCAACUGGGAGGGUGCGCCGAAUACUGAAUGACUAGAGUGCGGGAGAGGGAAGUGGAAUUCCUGGUGUAGCGGUGAAAUGCGUAGAUAUCAGGAGGAACACCGGUGGUGUAGACGGCUUUCUGGACCGUAACUGACGCUGAGACACGAAAGCGUGGGUAGCAAACAGG